AGUACAUAUAUGGAGAUAGGUGCCCUACGGGGCUUAAUAGGGAAGUCGGUAUGAUGCCGACGCGGUCCCGCCACUGUGAUGGAGAGUGAGCCAAGUUAUACCACUGAGAAUCAAUUCUUGGGAAGGUUUGGCAAGCAAUGACCCAAAGCCAGAAGAACUGCCUAUCUAACAGUCACCGU
rnacentral:ncRNA from 2 species